rnacentral:rRNA from 1 species
UUAGCGGCGGACGGGUGAGUAACACGGUGGGUAACCUGCCCAUAAAACUGGGAUAACUCCGGGAAACCGGGGCUAAUACCGGAUAACAUUUUGAACCGCAUGGUUCGAAAUUGAAAGGCGGCUUCGGCUGUCACUUAUGGAUGGACCCGCGUCGCAUUAGCUAGUUGGUGAGGUAACGGCUCACCAAGGCAACGAUGCGUAACCGACCUGAGAGGGUGAUCGGCCACACUGGGACUGAGACACGGCCCAAACUCCUACGGGAGGCAGCAGUAGGGAAUCUUCCGCAAUGGACGAAAGUCUGACGGAGCAACGCCCCGUGAGUGAUGAAGGCUUUCGGGUCGUAAAACUCUGUUGUUAGGGAAGAACAAGUGGUAGUUGAAUAAGCUGGCACCUUGACGGU